UAAUUUUGUUCCUACAAUAUAUUUUGUUGGAAUUAGUGUCGAUAGCAAGUAUCAAGAAACAGCUUUUUAAUUCAACGUUGAAGAAAUUCAUAACCUGUGGCACUUUUGACAGCCGCCAUGUUUUCUCCAUAAAAACAUUGAUUUUCUUUGCUCAUUUUCGUGUCAACGUAGUUUUUUUGGAAAAUAAGAAGAAAGGAAGUUUAACUUACUUAGAGAAAUACGACUGAGACAUAAACACAAGCAGCAGCCGAUGUGCUUGAGUAACAGAAGGAGCAACUGCGUUGUGAGAGGGCCACGGCUUCAGCCCUCACAAUGAUAGCUGAUUAGCUGAAGUAAUGAACAGACAGGCUGCAGUCAAUGAGAGGCUUCUUAAGGAGGGGUUCCUCAUAUGGAAAAAGGCUAAUGAAAGGAACAAUCAAGACCAGACUUAAAGUAAAAUAAUACGUAUACAUAAUUUAUAUCGGAAUAAGUACAAAAUAUUUUUGUAGGUAUAUGUUUUAACUAUAAAUUGAAAAUCCACAGAUUUUAGCGGCGACGCAGUUGCGCGACCAGUGAAGCUCUGGCUCCGCGACC